CAAAACUACAGCCACC
rnacentral:sRNA from 1 species